GACGAACGCUGGCGGCGUGGAUAAGGCAUGCAAGUCGAACGCGAACGGAGUAACUAAUUCGUUAGAAGCUCCUAGUAGAGUGGCGAACGGGUGAGUAACGCGUGGAUAACGUGCCUCUCAGUGGGGAAUAACACAGGGAAACUUGUGCUAAUACCGCAUACGUCCUUCCGACCCAGUUGGAAUGAUGAAAGGUGGGGACCUUCGGGCCUGCCGCUGAGAGAUCGGUCCGCGUCCCAUUAGCUUGUUGGUGGGGUAAUGGCCUACCAAGGCUCUGAUGGGUAGCCGGCCUGAGAGGGUGACCGGCCACACUGGGAUUGAGAUACGGCCCAGACUCCUUCGGGAGGCAGCAGUCGAGAAUCUUCCACAAUGGACGAAAGUCUGAUGGAGCGACGCCGCGUGAGUGAUGAAGGCCCUACGGGUUGUAAAACUCUGUCAGGAGAGAAGAACCGCCGGGGUGCCAAUACCACCCUGGUCUGACGUUAUCUCCAGAGGAAGCUCCGGCUAACUCCGUGCCAGCAGCCGCGGUAAUACGGGGGGAGCAAGCGUUGUCCGGAAUUAUUGGGCGUAAAGGGCGUGUAGGCGGCCUGGUCAGUCGAAUGUGAAAUCCCACGGCUCAACCGUGGAAUUGCGUUCGAUACUGCCUGGCUUGAGUAUGUGAGAGGUGUGCGGAAUUCCUGGUGUAGCGGUGGAAUGCGUAGAUAUCAGGAAGAACACCGAUGGCGAAGGCAGCACACUGGCGCAAUACUGACGCUGAGGCGCGAAAGCGUGGGGAGCAAACA
rnacentral:rRNA from 1 species